rnacentral:rRNA from 1 species
GUCCACGCCCUAAACGAUGCGUGCUCGGUGUGGGAGAUUUCAAUUGUCUUCCGUGCCUUAGCUAACGCGGUAAGCACGCCGCCUGGGAAGUACGGCCGCAAGGCUAAAACUCAAAGGAAUAGACGGGGACCCACACAAGCGGUGGAGCAUGGGGUUUAAUUCGAUGAUAAGCGGAGCACCUCACCUAGGUUUGACAUCCUGAGAAUUCUUUAGAAAUAAAGAAGUGCCGUAAGGAACUCAGUG